CAGAGAGAGGGAGAGAGACAGACAGACAGACAGACAGAGAGAGAGAGAGAGACAGGUCUUACAGGUUUAAGUAGAAACAGACAGUCACAGUUGGUGUGGAGUUGUCUGUCUGUCUCUCUCUCUGCCUGUCUGUCUGUCUGUGGGACAAACAGACAGACAGUGAGACAGGUCUGUC